GAUGAAGAACGCAGCGAAAUGCGAUAAGUAAUGUGAAUUGCAGAAUUCAGUGAAUCAUCGAAUCUUUGAACGCACAUUGCGCCCCCUGGAAUUUCGGGGGGCAUGCCUGUUCGAGCGUCCCAGGGACGAACCCUCGCGCGGGUGUACGCGCGGUCGUGGCUGCGGUGGCGUGCCCGAGGCGGCGGCCACCGCGCUGGAAUCCAUGGGCGGACGCCUGCCGCGUGGCCGAGCGUGAUAUGACGCAUUGGCGCUCGCACGCGGCGAGGCUGCCAGCCCUGGCCCGUCUGUCGGGCGGGGGAGAGCAAGACACGUGAACUCCUCGAAUCAGGUAGGGAUACCCGCUGAACUUAAGCAUAUCAAUAAGCGGAGGA
rnacentral:misc_RNA from 1 species